UACGUAGGGGGCAAGCGUUGUCCGGAAUCAUUGGGCGUAAAGCGCGUGUAGGCGGCUAGGUAAGUCUGCUCUGAAAGCCCGGGGCUCAACCCCGGGAGGCGGGUGGAUACUGUCUAGCUCGAGUCCGGAAGAGGAGUGUGGAAUUCCAGGUGUAGCGGUGAAAUGCGUAGAUAUCUGGAGGAACACCGGUGGCGAAGGCGGCAUCCUGGACCGACACUGACGCUGAGGAGCGAAAGCCAGGGGAGCAAACGGG
rnacentral:rRNA from 1 species